ACAUCCAGCGAACUUGGCAGAGAUGCCUUGGGUGCCUUCGGGAACGCUGAGACAGGUGCUGCAUGGCUGUCGUCAGCUCGUGUUGUGAAAUGUUGGGUUAAGUCCCGNAACGAGCGCAACCCUUAUCCUUUGUUGCCAGCGAUUCGGUCGGGAACUCAAAAGGAGACUGCCGGUGAUAAACCGGAGGAAGGUGGGGAUGACGUCAAGUCAUCAUGGCCCUUACGAGUAGGGCUACACACGUGCUACAAUGGCGCAUACAAAGAGAAGCGACCUCGCGAGAGCAAGCGGACCUCAUAAAGUGCGUCGUAGUCCGGAUCGGAGUCUGCAACUCGACUCCGUGAAGUCGGAAUCGCUAGUAAUCGUGGAUCAGAAUGCCACGGUGAAUACGUUCCCGGGCCUUGUACACACCGCCCGUCACACCAUGGGAGUGGGUUGCAAAAGAAGUAGGUAGCUUAACCUUCGGGAGGGCGCUUACCACUUUGUGAUUCAUGACUGGGGUGAAGUCGUAACAAGGUAAGCGUAGCGAG
rnacentral:rRNA from 1 species